UACGAAGGGGGCUAGCGUUGCUCGGAAUCACUGGGCGUAAAGGGCGCGUAGGCGGCCAUUCAAGUCGGGGGUGAAAGCCUGUGGCUCAACCACAGAAUUGCCUUCGAUACUGUUUGGCUUGAGUAUGGUAGAGGGUUGGUGGAACUGCGAGUGUAGAGGUGAAAUUCGAUAGAUAUUCGCAAGAACACCGGUGGCGAAGGCGGCCAACUGGACCAUUACUGGACGCUGAGGCGCGAAAGCGUGGGGAGCAAACAGG
rnacentral:rRNA from 1 species